rnacentral:lncRNA from 1 species
AGAUGCUGUCUUUUGCAGUCCUCCGAGAGCCUUCUCCGCUGGUGGUAUACUUACGAGGACCAGAGGUGAGGUGUCAGCAAGGAGGCCCACAGGUGGAAAGUGCUUUGGGCCAAUGGUACACACCUGCUUUAUUGGAUAGACGCAGAGAAGUAUGCCUGGUCACAGCCAGAGCUUACUCGGUCAAGAAAUUAUGAGCUCCCCAGAAGUCUCUUGUAUGCUGUCUCCUAGUUGUGAGCACCUUUUACCAAAGAUUAAAAAGAAAAAAGAAAAUCAGGUGGAUAAAGAGCCUCAGGUCUAACUGAAUUGUCAACUAAUGAUGGUCUGAGAGUACCUGUGCUGAAAUGGAAUUGUCUUUGAGUGGACACUUCUUAGAUGAGACCUAUUGUGGCCAAUAGCUCCUGAGGAACUGAAGCCUUCAGUUCAAAACUUGUGUGAGAAAAAUGAAUCUUGCCAACUACUGGAGUGAGCUUAGAAAUGAAUCCAUCCCCAGUUGACCCUUGAAUGUAGCCUUGUCAGAGACCCAGAGACAAAGCAUCCUGCUAAUCUGCACUGGGUUCUAGGCCCACAGAAACCAUGGGAUAAUAACUUUGUGUUGCUAUAAGCCACUGAAAACAAACAAAUAAAAUACUUAAGAUGUUCCCCUGUGGAAGGGUUCCAUUGCCAGGGAUCUGCACUUCACAACCAAAGGGAUUAAAGAGAAUUGCCUUCUUCAGAUUUCAGACUGUGGCCUGCUUCUGGUUUUUCUUUCUAUAUUCAUAUAUAUGUUUGUUUAAAUCAUCCUACUUUUGGAGCAGGAAAAGUUACUAUUACAGUUUAUACAAAGGGAAGAAAUCUGGUACAUGCUAAAGUUAUUCAUCUGUAACUACCUGACGAGCCCAAUUAGUUGCUUGCUCCUAUGGAUUCUGAGCCUAAAAUCCCUUCAACAGAUCUUUGACCUUUUCUAAGUUAAGUUUUUGGAAGUAUCCUAUUUGUUCACUUACUUGGGCCAGAGACUAUAGAGAUUAAGAGAAAGUUUGAUAUUUGACCCUAAUUUUAGGCUAAAACAAUUUAGAUGGAAAGAACAGACACAAUUCAAUUUAACCAUCUUCAACUGCUGUGCUUUAGAAAGCUGGGAGUGUGGAGAAUGGAGUAGGUGUACAGAAAAAUAAGAACAGUUCUGUUCUUCAGGGCUUGAUAAAGGCUGCUGUGAGUUGGAUGGACAAUAAUUACUACUGACUAGGUCUAGCUGGGAUAGUUAGGGGAGACUUUCUGAAAGAGGCAACACAUGAGCUGGGUUCUAAAUCUCAAAUAGGAUUUGAUGGCUGAAGAUGAGGGUAAUAAAACAAGAGAAACAAGUACAUUCCAGAUAGAAAGAAUAGUAUAAGCCAAGAAAAACCUAUUCCAGGGCAGCAGGGAAGAGUCUGAAGUGGCAAAACAAAGUAGGAGGCAAAGCUGUCAAUAUAAGUAACUUGGUAGAGAAACAUUAGGAGUUUGGAUUUUAUCCCAUUGACUAGGAGGAUUUAAAAACAGAAAAUGCUCACAGGGGCCAGGCAAGUUAUGAGUAAAUAAAAGGUCCAGGUGUAAGUGCAACAGGGCCCAUGGACAUAGGAAUGGGGGAUGUGAAAAACCAACCUUUGCUAACAGUGAGUUCUACUAUGCAGUUUUAGCUGAUUAUAGCCAGACUCGAAAGCAACCUUUGUAGGGUUGACAGUUCUUGUGAUUGUUCAAGAAAAAAAUUUAUGUAAAAUCUACUGACUUGAAAAUACUAGAUUAAUUUAUUUAAUGUUAUAGAGCUCAAAUAAAACACAUUUGUCUUAUUUAUA